GCAUAUCAAUAAGCGGAGGAAAAGAAACCAACCGGGAUUGCCUCAGUAACGGCGAGUGAAGCGGCAAGAGCUCAAAUUUGAAAGCUGGCUCCUUCGGGGUCCGCAUUGUAAUUUGCAGAGGAUGCUUCGGGUGCGGCCCCUGUCUAAGUGCCCUGGAACGGGCCGUCAGAGAGGGUGAGAAUCCCGUCUGGGAUGGGGUGUCCGCGCCCGUGUGAAGCUCCUUCGACGAGUCGAGUUGUUUGGGAAUGCAGCUCUAAAUGGGUGGUAAAUUUCAUCUAAAGCUAAAUACUGGCCGGAGACCGAUAGCGCACAAGUAGAGUGAUCGAAAGAUGAAAAGCACUUUGAAAAGAGAGUUAAAAAGCACGUGAAAUUGUUGAAAGGGAAGCGCUUGCGACCAGACUCGCCUCCAGGGUUCAGCCGGCAUUCGUGCCGGUGUACUUCCCUGGGGGCGGGCCAGCGUCGGUUUGGGCGGCCGGUCAAAGGCUCCCGGAAUGUAGUGCCCUCCGGGGCACCUUAUAGCCGGGAGUGCAAUGCGGCCAGCCUGGACCGAGGAACGCGCUUCGGCACGGACGCUGGCAUAAUGGUCGUAAACGACCCGUCUUGAAACACGG
rnacentral:rRNA from 1 species